rnacentral:lncRNA from 10 species
AAGCGCCGCGCGCAGCCCUGGUUCCCGCCCAUGCCUCUCCCUCCACACCACCCCGCAAGCUGAGGGAGCGGGUUGCGGCCUUGGCCAGUCCAGAAAGGGGCUCCCACAGUGCAGCGGUGGGCUGAAGGGCUCCUCAAGUGCAGCUGGAGUGGGCACCAGGGCCGAGGAGGUGCUCAGAGCGAGUGAGGGCUGCGAGGGCUGCCAGCAUUCUGUCACCUCUCAUCAUGAGAUCGGAUGGAUUUAUCAGGUGUUUCCAGUUUUGCUUCUUCGUCAUUUUCUGUCUUGUCGCCACCAGAUAAGAAGUGACUUUCGCCCUCUGCCAUGAUUGUGAGACCUCCUCAGCCACGUGGAACUUCUUUGAGUAUGCUCAGCGCGUGCCAUCAUGGGGCCAUGUUCUUCCCCUUUGCUCUUGGAGAAUAGACAAAGCUACCCAGCCCAGCCACAGCCUCAUAAUCUUGUUCUACCUCCCUCUCCAGCCUCAACUAUUUCCAGGCUCCAGCUCAAGUCAUACAUCAGGUGAAUCAGGAAGAGA